rnacentral:rRNA from 1 species
CUACGGGUGGCUGCAGUGAGGAAUAUUGCACAAUGGGGGGAACCCUGAUGCAGCAACGCCGCGUGGAGGAUGACGCAUUUCGGUGUAUAAACUCCUUUUAUAUGUCAAGAAAAUGACGGUAGCAUAUGAAUAAGCACCGGCUAACUCCGUGCCAGCAGCCGCGGUAAUACGGAGGGUGCAAGCGUUACUCGGAAUCACUGGGCGUAAAGGACGCGUAGGCGGGUUGGAAAGUCAGGUGUGAAAUCCUACAGCUUAACUGUAGAACUGCACUUGAAACUUCUAAUCUAGAGUAUGGGAGGGGGAGAUGGGAUUAGUGGUGUAGGGGUAAAAUCCGUAGAUAUCACUAGGAAUACCUAAAGCGAAGGCGAUCUCCUGGAACAUUACUGACGCUAAGGCGUGAAAGCGUGGGGAGCAAACAGGAUUAGAUACCCUCGUAGUC